CCUGUGUUCUUCCCUGGGUCUCUCCCCGACCCUGUGCCGGGGUCACAGUAUCUGUCCUGCAUUACUUAGAGGCAUCCACCUGGAAGGGAGAUGAUGACACAGAAGCUUGAAAGCCGAUGUCCCUGGCUGUGGCUGGAGAGAAGAGGAAUCCCGAUGUGACAUGUGGGCAUGCAUUCACCAGGCAGGCAGCCCUGGAAAUUUCAGUGCCCUGGGUCAAAGUCCCAAGUUUGUGACCCUAGAUGGGGUCCUGAAGAGAACACAGUGGAUAUUUGUUGUGUUUUGUGACACCCAACAAUAGUCAUUGAAAAUCCUUUCUGUGUUCGGGGAAUUUUCCACAUGAAGGUUCCUACUGGAAGCCAGUAGAUCACUCCUCGCUUGAUUUCCAUCCAGGGAGACUCCAAUGUGCAAGAGAGUAGGAAGAGGCAGGGGCCACACAGAAGCAUCUUUUUACUGCUGAAUAGAUUCUAUUGUAUGAAUAUAUCCCAUUUUCUUUAUUUACCAAUGUAUAAGGAUUUGAAUAAUU